AGAACUUCUAAGAUGAGGAGUCUGGCUUCCCAGCCGCUGGACCGAGCUCCAGGAGGAAGAGGCUGAGGCUGAGAACAUGCAGCGUGGGCCCCUAACCUCCUGCCAGAAGGUCCACGGCAUGCCAAAUGGUGCCAUGUCCUCACCUGGGAUCCGAACCAGCAAACCCCGGGCUGCCGAAAUGGAGUGUGCGCACUUAACUACUGCACCACCGGGCGGGCCCCUGACUGCCUUUUUUAAAGGAAGAAGAAGAGGAGGCUUCGGAGGCCGUGCUAAUUACCCUGAUGCUCCGUGUUUGGAAGAUCUGUCAUCCAACUGUGCAGAGAGCCAACGCCUGUGGGGCAAAGGAUUUGACAAUGAAGAAGAGUUGGGCUUUGAACCAGAUGCCCAUCAUGUCCUUGAGGCAACUAUGUCUGAUCCACUGUGAAAGAACCUCUGAUUGCCCGUGAGCCUGACCUUGCAGUUGGGUCAUGGGUUGUAAUAAAAAUGUAGAAAUGGCUGUCUAGGGCGGGGAAUUUGUUCAUGGUUUAUUUUCACACAAGAAGGUAAGUUCCAAGAGAACAGGGACUUUGUUACACUCUGUGGUAUCUUUGGUGUCCAGUACCCAACACACAGUAGGUGCUUUGUAAGCAUUUGCUGAUUGAACAACUGGAGGAAAUGACAAUCAUCAAUACAAUUUACUGAAUGCUCUCUGGGUUCCAGACACCUUAUAAACUUUGUUUUAUUUAGUCCUAUGACAAUCUUAAGAGAUAGAUUCUUGUUUGUUUGUUUGCUUUUACUUGUUGAGUGAAGUUAAAUAAGUCAUCCAUUGGUUGUUACUUUCUAGAAAGUGGCAAAACCUGGCUUCAUUCCUUCUACACAUUUAUUGAGUGUCAGACACUAUUCUGGGUAUUUGGGCUACGUCAGUGAACAAAACAGAAAAGAUCCCUCACCUUUGUAAAUUCAAGAGAGAAGGGCAUAGAAUAUAUAAUAAAUAAGUAAAUUAUGUAGUCUGUUAGGUGUUAAGUGUUAUGGCAAAAAAAUAAAUAAAGAUCAAGGUAGAGAAUUAGGAGGGUCAAGGAAGAAGGGUAGGGUGGUGGGCAGUUGUGAUGGUUAGUUUUAUGUGUCACCGUGGCUAGGGUAUAGUAUCCAGUUAUUUAACCAAGUACUAAUCUAGGUAUUGCUGUGAAGGUAUUUUGUAGAUGUGGCUAACAUCUAUAAUCAAUUGACUUUAAGUAAAGGCGAUUACCUUUGGGGAUGUGGGUGGGCCUCAUCCAACAAAUUGAAGGCCUUAAGAGCAAAAAGUGAGGUUUCCAGAAAAGCAGAAAUUGUGCCUCAUGAUUGCAGCCUUAAGUCCGGCCUGAGUUUCCAACCUGCUCACCUGCCCUAUAAAUUUUGGACUCAAGACAGGACAGCAACAUCAACUCCUGCUUGGGCUCCCAGCCUACCAGCCUGCCCUAUGCAUGUUGGGAUGUGCUGGCCCCCAAUUCUUUAAAGAUAAAUCUCUGGAGAACUUUGACAGAUACAGAUUUUGGUACCGAAAGUGGAGUGCUGCUGUAAUAACUGCCUCAAACUGUGGAAGUAAGAGAGAAUUCCUCCUGCCUGAUUGCAUCUGAACUGGGACAUCGCCUUUAGUCCUGCUUUUGCACUUGAACUGAAACAUCGAUUCUUCCUGGGAAAGAAGCCUGCCAGCCUUUGGGUGGGAACGACACCUUUAGCUCUCCUGGUGCUCAGGCCUUUAGACUCAGAGUGGAAUUACACCGUUGGUUCUCUUGGGUUUCCAGGUUGUCAACUCACUCAAUAGACCUAAAUCAAGUUCUCAGUAAAUCUUUAGCAUUUUCGUCAAGGUUAAUCAGGUACGUGAGAAACAGUUUGGGAGAUCUAAGUUCAACACUGGCUCUUUCAUUAACCGGCUGUGUCCCCUUGGGUGUGUUGUUUGUCUGGGCCUCUCUUUGCUGGUCUGUAAAAUGGGCAGUAAGCCGGAACAGGGCUAUUCCAAGUGUGGUCCACAGUCUGCUGCCCAUCGGCGAACUGUUACUGGUCAGUGAUGGGGAAUCUAGAGGAGCAGAAAGCAUGCAUUAGAGACUUCCAUAGCAAUUUACAGGGUCAUUUUAUGUCUUUUGAAUCUAAUAAUAAAAUGUUUGGGUUUGUAUUUCCCUGUCUUUUCAAAAAAAA
ensembl:lncRNA